GAAAGCCUGAGAUCUCCAGUCCUGAAUCUGGUGAAAAAGGUGUAACUGCCAUAUCACAGCACGGAACGCUGAGUACAUUAUUCUUUCCAACAGCAGGAUUUGAAGUCAACUUUGUAGGAGGAAAGAGAUGGGUGAGCUCGGGGCUGCGAAGCGCCCGAUGGGGAAGCUUAUAAAAUGUGAUGCUCUCUGGAAGGUCUGUUCACGCAAAACUAAGCGAGGAGUGCCGCCCCAUUUACUCCAGGGAAAUACAGGGCUGUGAGUGCUCCGCACUGCCGUCCCCCUGAGCCGAGGGGCUGAGGCUGCUCGGAGCCCCGGAGGGGCUGCUGAGCCCCACUGAGACGGCCCUCCUGCCGCACCUCGCCGUGGCCGGGAC
ensembl:lncRNA